CAGUGAUUUAACUCCUUAAUGGCAGUGAAUUAAGCAGUGAAACUUCAGGGGCAUGAUCUAUACACCAAAACCACUCCAUUAAACUAAAGUUGUUUUGGUGCCUAUUAUAUCCAUUAAGUGUACAAGGUAGGAAUAAUCUGUACAUUGUACUGGUAAAUUUGUCAGCAAAUUCACGUGGCUUGACAUUUCCACUCAACCAGUAACCAAUGGGCUAUGGAAAAGAGCUAU